rnacentral:hammerhead_ribozyme from 1 species
AUAUUGCCUGAUGAGUCCCAAAUAGGACGAAACGCGUGUCUUGUAU